rnacentral:rRNA from 1 species
UGGGGAAUUUUGGACAAUGGGGGCAACCCUGAUCCAGCAAUGCCGCGUGAGUGAAGAAGGCCUUCGGGUUGUAAAGCUCUUUUGUCAGGGAAGAAACGGUAGUAGCGAAUAACUACUACUAAUGACGGUACCUGAAGAAUAAGCACCGGCUAACUACGUGCCAGCAGCCGCGGUAAUACGUAGGGUGCAAGCGUUAAUCGGAAUUACUGGGCGUAAAGCGUGCGCAGGCGGUUGUGUAAGUCAGAUGUGAAAUCCCCGGGCUCAACCUGGGAAUUGCAUUUGAGACUGCACGGCUAGAGUGUGUCAGAGGGGGGUAGAAUUCCACGUGUAGCAGUGAAAUGCGUAGAUAUGUGGAGGAAUACCGAUGGCGAAGGCAGCCCCCUGGGAUAACACUGACGCUCAUGCACGAAAGCGUGGGGAGCAAACAGGAUUAGAUACCCAGGUAGUCCCUGAGCGGGCUGGCAAGGCGCAU